UAUUCCUGCCACAAACUCAGGUGAGAAGACGAAAACAAAUGUUGACAUUGUUGUUUUGUUUAUUUGUUCAUUGAUGGGAAGUGUCAAUUUGAAUGUUAAUCAAGACAUAGGAAGUACAAUUUAAGGAAAAAGCCAUGAUAGAGAGCAGACAUCGGGGUGAAUAGAUGUAAUGGCAGACCAAAAAGAUAGAGAAAAGGGCAAAGACGAAAAAGAUGGUCUCCUGUAUAUGUGGCAAGGUUACCAUGGAGAUGUGGAGGUGGUUAAGUUUCCCGCCCUGUUUGGCAUUCCCAUCAGGAAGGUUGCUAUAGGGACCGACCACUCGGUUUUCUUGACAUUAGAUGGGCGCUUGUUUUCCUGUGGGAGCAAUGUCCAUGGACAGCUGGGAGUGAUUACCGGAGACAAGGAUCAGGCUUAUGAUCCUGUACAGGUGUCUGGAUUAUCAGAUGUCCAGAUAAAGGAUGUGGCUUGCGGUUGUAACCACAGUGCAGCGGUCAGUAGAUUAGGACAGGUGUACUGCUGGGGGGAUUCCCGGGAAUUCCAGUGUGCCUCCACGGAGAAGACAGUGACUGUCCCACAACUAGUCCCGGUCCACCGGGAGACCUUCGACCAUUGUCAGCACGGAGUCCCUAUUGAGGACCAGGUUGACAUUGUAGAGGUGUCCUGUGGAAAGUCCCACACUGUAGCUCUGUCUGGGGCCAGGGAAGUGUGGGUGUGGGGGUCAGGGGAGGGGCUGGGGAUCAAACAGAAAUCCACCGCCUCCCCUGUUCUGUUGGAGAGACUCGUGGGGAGAAAUGUCCUGGGGAUAAGUUGUGGGUUCUCCCACACGCUGGCUGUGUUAGAGAGGAGUAUACUGGAGGAUUUGUAUUCCCCGGUGAAGACUAGGAGGUCCAGGGCCUCAGAGACCAAUACUCACAAAAUCCUCCCAAAAACCUGUGCAAAAUGUAACUCUGAGAUUUAUACCUAUCAGGAGACCAAUGAUACUUGUAUUAUCAAUGAUGAACAUCUGUGUAAGUGUGAUAAUGAAUCAGAAUUAGCAGAUCCAGGAGUUGGACAGAGGGCGCGAUGUGAUAGUGAUGUGUUUGAAAGUGUUGAGGACUCAGAUCAAAGGAAAACCAAGGAAAAGUUGGGGGCGCCUCAGAUAAAUGAUGAACAUCAUGAGGAGGAAGAUAUAUGGGUGAAACAGGAGACUAUUCCUACCAGUGAAUCAGCAGGAAACAGUUUCUCAGAACAUCAAGGAAUGCAGAAGUGUCCAGGGUCAAAUAGGCUGUCAGCAACAAAAUCUGUCAGCUUUGUCAAUGAGGAGGAGGCAAGGAAGUACCUUGCCGAGCAAUACGAGGACAAAACAGAGGAAGAAGAAUGUCCUCAACAACAGGACACACCCUCCACCUCUACCCUGGGGAGUCUGUUGUCCUCGGUGCAGAUGUACCCAUCUGACGUGAUCAGCCAUAUUUCUGCCGUUCCUCAACAAAUGUCCUCCAUGACCAGUAAAGCUCUCAGUAGUAUCACCGAUAAACUGGGCUUCUCUGCAGACAACCGGCCGAGGGACACGACAUCAGAGAGCAGUGGGAUGGGCUCACAGCUCUUCCUGGCCUUUGAUACCUCCGAGGAGGAUCUCAGGUCUCAGGGAGUGGAGGCCCCAGACCCUCAGGGAGUGGAGGACCCAGACCCCCAGGCCUUGAUGGAGACUAGUUUUAUCAGUGACUCAGGCAUAGAGGGAAAUACAAAUAGGCUAUCACUGCGGACCAUAGAGGCCAAACAGGAAAACCUGAGUAAAAAGGCCACCAUUGACCAGCUUCAAGUUACCUCAGAAGCUACAGAGUCCUUAGUUACCUUGGAAACAGAGGUGUGGUCCUGGGGUAAAAAUAACAAAGGACAGCUGGGUCAUGGAGAUGAAAUUGAUAGGGAACGUCCCGAGGUGGUGAGGAUGCUUAUUGGGACGAAGGUGGUCAAGGUCUGUGGAGGGGGAUUCCACUCCCUAGCCCUGACCGCAGACUCAAAGGUUUACAGCUGGGGGUUAAAUGCAUCGGGUCAACUGGCCCGCACUGAUAACACAGCUAAACCGUGUCCUAUAAAGCUGAUGGACCGUUGCUAUGCCUGGGACAUAGCUGCAGGGGAGAAAUUCUCGGUGUUUCUGAUGGACCGAGAUGGAUUCCAACCAGAAAUCCACUACGUCGGGAAACACCCAUGUAGAGAUCUCUAUGUGCCAAUAUACAAAACAAACCGUCUGACCUGCUUGAAUUUCUUAAAACAAGCAGGCUGGGUGCGUGCAAUAUCAGCAGGAGAAGAUAACUCUGCCUGUAUUUCCUGCUGGAGUUUUACUGGAUUUACAGCUUCCCUGUUUGAGGUGGCGGCCGCUGAGAGGAGAUUUUACAGCUUUCUCAACUGUAUCCUCUCCUCUGUGGUCCACCCUCUCAAAGAAUCAAGUUUCUUCAGUACCCUGGAUGUGUUCCCGUACAAGUCCUGUACCCAGAACCUGCUGGCUGCAUUUGAGAAUAUCACCAAUCUGAUCGGGGAGAAGUCUGUGGACUUGACAAACAGGAUACGGUCCAUGGACAAUUUCUUGGAGGCUAAUUUCUUUGUGAGAUGUGAGGAGAUCAUCAGUGAGUUCAAGGUCCUUUCCAUCAGCUUCGCGGACAUGUUGGCCAUCGGAGGCUUUGAUUACUUGUGUAAAACUGGGAAACAGUUUUUUGAUUCCAUAGACAAGGAAUUACAGACUCUGCUAGAUGGAUCUAAAUAUAGCCAGAAAAACAAGGCCGAAAAACUACAGGUGCUAUUCGAUCGACCGUUCAGUCACAUCAAGGAAUACUGUCGACUCACCGAGAAGCUGGUCUGUAAUUAUGAAGCCGAAACUCUGGAGAACUGCCUGUUGAACAGGGUGACCCUACAGUGGCAGACCCUAAAGCGGACCACCAGCACUGACCACAGACAGGCCAAGAAUACCAAGGUCUUCUGGGAGGCCCUCAACUUCCCCAAACUGAUAGAUGCAGUGAAGAUACCCACACGGCGUUUGGUCCGGGGCAGCAGGGACCACCCCCUCUCUCUGUACGGGGCGGGGCGCAUGUCCACCCACGACUUUUUCCUCUUCAAUGACCUCUUUGUUCACGCCCAGCUUAAAAAGCAUCAGUUUGGUCAAUCAAAGUAUUCAGCAUUCCAAACCUACCCCUUGGAGACCCUAUGGGUUGAAACACCAGAAAAUGAAAAGCAAAGGAACUUAAUCUCCUUGAUCACGCCGGAGGAAACACUUGUAUUGUCUACCGCUGACAGCAACGGAAAGACGGAGUGGCUGAUCGCUCUGAACUCCACUAUAAACAAAGUUCUGAGUCGUCAGAAGUCUGUGACACGUAGAGGGAGCCAUGAUCGCUUGACUCCACCUGACAUCCGCUUUGCUAACCACCAGUUUAUAAAACAUGGCGUGUUCAAAGGGGCCACCUACUCCGGCUACUGGUUGUCUGGGAAGUUACACGGCUUUGGUGAGAUGAAGUGGGCAGAUGGACGGAAAUAUGUUGGACACUUCAAGGAGGGAUUACAGCAUGGACACGGCAAGUUAAUUCUAAAGCAGAAUGACGGGAGUGAGAGAACUCAGGAGGGGUACUGGAGAGAUGGACUCCUUCAUGGACUAGCUAAAGUCAGGUAUUCUAACGGUGACCUGUAUGAGGGAGCCUUUAAAGAUGGACAGAGACACGGUCAUGGCAUCUAUCGCCAGGGACAACACGCCUCAAUGGCCGCCAAUGUUUACAUCGGAGAGUGGGUGUCAGACAAAAAGCAUGGCUAUGGAAUCAUGGAUGAUGUCAUGAAAGGAGAGAAGUACAUGGGGAUGUGGCAGGAUGACGUCAGACAGGGCAGUGGAAUCGUGGUCACUCUGGACGGAAUGUACUUCGAGGGCAACUUCACCAACGACAAGCUGACGGGGUUUGGUUUGAUGAUGACGUAUGACAACAGCUGUUACGAGGGAGAGUUUGCAGGAAUUACACAGCUACAAGGAAAGGGCAAGCUGAGAAUGCCAAACCGUGACACCAUUGAGGGGAUGUUUAGUGGCUCGUGGAACGAAGGACUGAAAAUCAAUGGAGUCUUUAAGAAAGCUGAAUAUACAGACAGCAAGAAAACGGGACACAGACUCUCACAGAUCUUUGGCACCAUGGCCGUUCCUGCCAAUCAAAAGUGGGAGGGCAUGUUCCAGCAGUGUAUCAAUGUAUUCAGGGUCAAAGGUCAGGACCAACUUAAUACCCAGAAAGCCUGGGAAAAUGUGGCAGUUACUCUGUCAAAGGGGAAGAAGAACAUAAGAGAAAUCCAGGCAAAAUAUGAGGGAAUGCAGCUGACGUCAGAGUCUGUGUUUGUGGGACUGUGUGUGAUAGUGGGGACCUCACAACAGGUGGCCCUCAGGAGGGAGACAGAGGACAUCAGGGAGAUGGUGAGGAUACGAGUGAUGCCUAAUGAUGGGAUGAUUGAGAUGGUGAGUGGAAGUAAGAGAGAAGGGUUCAGACUGAAGGGAUCAGAUGUUGACUAUAUGUACUGGCCAAACAACCACCGAGUGAUCAUGGACAUGUCUCAGUCUGAGUAUUACAACACAGCCAAUACAACCUUGAUUCUCUCUGACAGUUCUGAGAGUCCACCAGGAUUCACUUUACUUCAGUUACUGACACCAACAACAUUCAGAGAAGUCCGAUUAGCAUGUGUCAGAAUGAACGACAGAGUCUAUAUAUCUAGUUCUACAUGCAGACAGUUAACUUGUUCAUCAAUUUUUCUCAAUUCUACUGUACACGGACCCUGUGGUAGUGGUGUUAGAGCAGGAGUAGAAUAUGACACUGCCAUCUGUUUUGUUUGUGACUUUUGGCCUCGGUCUGCCUCCUCGUGGAUAGACAGAUGUCACUCAUGGCCUGAUCCUGAAGUUGUCAAUGACAUUGUCAGAAAUGGAUGCCAUGUUGUAGCAAUAGGACACCCAUUAGGACCACAUGGAAAUAGAGAAUGGAGAAUUUCAUUUUCUCUGGCAGAAUAUAAACUAGUUUCAUCAAUGAACCACUGUCAGUUUUUGACUUAUGGAUUGUUAAAACUUUUCUUAAAAGAAGUAAUAAAUCACCAGUUAGAAGAAUCCAAUAAACUGUUGUGUUCCUAUCACAUGAAGACAACAGUUUUCUGGGCGAUUCAACAAAACACACUACCUAACUGGUGUCCACAAAAUCUCCUGGCCAGUUUCUGGGUCUGUUUUAAACUCCUCCUUAAAUGGGUGUAUGAGGGAGUUAGUCCAAAUUUUUUCAUCCCACAAAACAACCUGUUUCUGACAAAGGUCCAUGGCUCAGCACAAAACAGAUUAUUCCUACAGUUACAUGAAUUGUACAAGAAAGGUCUGGCCUGUCUGUUACAGAGUUCCUCAAUCAGGUCCUACAUCAUUGAUGUCCUGUACAAUCCUAGACUUUCUAUAUGUACAGAUGAAAGUAUAAUGAUGUCUGAAGUUGAUUAUGAUGUAGAACUUGUCAGGGAGUCCAAUAGAGCUGUUGUUUCUGAAGUAGAUCUAUUUGGUCUUACAAAAGCCAUACACACAAUAGAACAGUUGGUAGAGUCACCCCUGACACACUAUCAAGUUGUUACAUUACAGAGUGUUACAGCCUCUUUACUUCAGUGUACUGCAUUUCAAUUACAAAAAAUGUACACCAACACAGGUUACAACAAGCAGAUGUAUAUUGCAGACAAAAUGUCCUGUCACAUGCUGAAAUUAGCAGCCAAGUUAGGAUGUGUAUCUGACAUGUUGUACAUUGCCAUGUAUUAUUACAAGACACUUAGAUACAGGGAAGCCCUAUCUCUUAUAGAGAUGACCAAGGUCAAGUUAGCACAGCCAUAUCUGAUGUAUAGGGUACAUGUAGACAGAGAGAGGUAUACUGAGGCUGUAGGGGGACAGUCCUGGUCUACAAAGAUCAGACAGGCUGUAGCAAGAGAUAUCACACUUUACAAUGAAAUCUGUUAUAUCAGUGAACUAAUGUCAGAACAACAGUCUGCUCUACAGAACAAAGAUGAUGCAUUAUAUAUCCCAGUGUUUGUAAUGUUACACUUCCUAGAGUUCUUGUGUUACAGACACAUUGAUACAACAUUAUCACAAGCAGCUCUAGAUGAGCUACAGGUCCUAGUCCACCAUGAUCAGGGAUUGUAUGUAUGUGAUCUAUUUAGAGACAUCUCCUGGUAUAUCCUAGGGAUCUGUCAACAGAUCACAGGGAACCUCCAGGCUGCUCUAUACUCAUACCAACAGUCAUUCACACAGUAUCCGAUGCACAGAAUACAAACUGCUACACACAGGAGAAUACAGGACAUAGUUGGAACAAUCUCACACCAGUAAAUAAUUACCUAAAAUAUAGGAAACGUUCUGAGAUUGAAAGCUGGUAACAAACUUAGUAUAAUUAUGUAUAAAGAUAAGACAGAUUGUAUUACGACAUUCCUGCAUUAUGAUAAAUCAAUCCUUGAAUCACAAGAUACUUUGGGUCUAUUUCAGGGGUAUUUGACAACUGUACAUGUGACUUAUAUUUUUAUUUGUUAAAUUUCUGUUGUUUGUUAGCAGUAGAUGUAACAUAGCAUUGCCUCUAAGUUAUGCAUGACAGAAUGAGUGAGUAGUAAUACAUUGCAGUGCGUCUGGGUUUAGCAGUGUAAUACAAUACAGAUCAAUUUACUACAAUAUCCUUGAACUGAUAAAGACUGUGACUGACGGAAUGAAUGUACUAUGCUUUGCUAGUCCAGUUUGAAAUACUGUAUUAUGGUUUACAUUUCUUUAUCAACAGUGUACUGUACUGCUGUAUUUAUGCAAUGUUUAUUGUAUUUCUAAUUUUUUCGUAUUAAAACAAUGCACUGAAAGAAAGCAUUCUUUUUCAAAUGCACUGAUGUUUAAUCAAUGUCUUGACAUUUAUAUUUGCAAUCUACAGUAUAUGCAUUUGUUGCAAUACAUUUUAACUUUUUUUAUCAUGACGUUGUUUAUAUAUAUCUGCAAGUUGUGAAAAUAUGUAAAAGUCUCUAAAUCUUUCCACACAUAUGUUUUAUCUUUUAUACCAAAAAAAGGGAGGCUCAGGAGACAAAUAGCUCACCUGAGUAACAUUGGUCAUAACUCUAAUCAGCAAGCAGGAAUAUGUAUUUGGAAUCAAAAGACAUACUAUCUAGUUUAAUAAGAACAAAGGACUUUCUCUCUCUUUCUAUCUGUCUGUCUGUCUCUGUGUGUGUGUGUGUGUGUCUCUCUCUCUCUCUCUCUCUCUCUCUCUCUCUAAGGAGGUGAUAAACAAAAGUCUCAUACCAUGGUCCAGAGCUCUCUCCUAGAUAGAAGAUGAUCGUACAUGUUGAAUGUGGUUUGCUUACUUACCAGUCAAGUGAUUGAGAUGAAUUUCUCAAUUUCUACACCUUUCAAACGGAAAUCGACAGUCAAUAAACAAAUUAAACGAUGACAUGAAAGAACUUUAGACAGAAGUGGAAAGUGCAAAGGGGUCUAUCUACACGUAGGUAGAAUUGAGCAAUCUUUGCUUAUCAAGUUUCCAAUUCGGUCAUUCUUCCUUACCCUACCACAUGGUAUAAAUUUACACACGUGUAAACAUACAUUACCAUACAUUUUACCACAAAUGUUAUUUCUUCACUUGUCUCUAAAUUCCUUUAAAUGCCAUCACUAGCCCCAUACUGUGGCAUGGUUUGUUUACAUGUAAAAAUGAUGACUCCUGAUCUGCUUUUUGAGGUCGAUUUGCUUAAAGAUGAUUUAUUAGGAGAGAGUUUGGGGCAAGUUAAAUGACAACUACAUUUAUGAACAGUUGUAAACUGAAUGAACAAUUUUUAAUUGAUUAUUUGCACAGAAUGUGGUAUGAUAUAAUGUCAAUUAUAUUUGUUCACAGGGCUUCUAUAUAUGUCAUAGAGAGCACAGUGGAUAUGAACCCCUGUGAUCUGAUCAAACCUAGCAUAAUUCAUGCAAAGUAAAUUGCAAGUUUUUCAUAAUUGAAAUAUGCACUGUACAUUUUAUAGUUAUUUACAUGUAUAAUCAAACCCACUUUUAUUUAAUUGAGCUACACCAGCCAUAUUUAUCGUGUGAUUGUUAUUGUCACAACAAAUGCCCCAAUUCUGAUUGCCAUGAGAAACAGGCGAAUUUUUCAUUUUCUGUUAUGUUGUUGUUUUGUCUGUACAUAAUUUAGUCUGCACCAGCGGCCAAUCAGAAGUAAACUGAGUCCACCAAUAAGAAAGUUUGUGGUCAUGAACCGGGUAUGGUUUAUGCAUGACGUAGCUGACAGACUUGAACGUAAUGCUAUACCGGUAUUGAAAAAACCUCACCAAAUUCAUUUUGAUAAUAAUACUUCCCUCCAAUAAGAUACGGAGGAUUCUGACCCUAGCGGAGGAGCUGGAGACGAUCCCUCCUCACAGCAAGGGUAGGCUUACUGUGGAGUACUACCACCAGAUCAA